UACGUAGGCAGCGAGCGUUGUUCGGAAUUACUGGGCGUAAAGAGUGUGUAGGCGGUGCUCUAAGCUCGGUGUGAAAUCUCCUGGCUCAACUGGGAGGGUGCGCCGGAAACUGGAGUGCUUGAGCGUGGGAGAGGAAAGCGGAAUUCCUGGUGUAGCGGUGAAAUGCGUAGAUAUCUGGAGGAAUACCGGUGGCGAAGGCGGCAUCCUGGACCGACAUUGACGCUGAUGAGCGAAAGCUAGGGGAGCAAACGGG
rnacentral:rRNA from 1 species